AUGCAACUUGAAGUGGUUACCAAGAGCAUAAUUCAACAACCCAGCACCCGCUUGGCAAUCUGACAAUCUAGAGGGGGAGGGAUUGUACUACUACUACUACUACGUCGAACUGAAACCAUGGUUUAGGGUUUGAUUGUAAUCUGUGUGUGUGUGUGUGUGUUUGUCUCUCUCUCUCUGUCAACUUAGCGCAGAGCUGUGGGUCUGAAAUUCUCCCUCGCUCUCCUGUGUACUACGAUUCAGAGGUGGGUUUGCCUGUACUCAAUUGGGAAGUUCAUCCACGUACUCGAAGUGGGGAGGGAUAAGGAUUGGAACCUGGGCAUGGCUAUAGCGUAGAUAGCCUGAACAGCCGUGGAUGCUGCUGUUGCUAAAUGUUGCUGCUGGGUCCCUGUCUGCGAACGCGCGAAAUCAGUGCAGCCAUCGAUUCCCCGCUC
rnacentral:lncRNA from 1 species